GAGCUGCCUUGGUGCUGUAAAGGUAAGAAAAUGGAGGCUCCCAGAGAUUUGACAACCUGCCCGCAGCAAUGACCAAAUCAGACUUGGUGCUAAGUCUGCACCUCCCCAAAGUCAGUGUGUUUGUAUGCUCUGCUGCCACUGCCCCCCGCUGGCCCUGCACAUGAUGUGAACCAUCAGGCAGACCUGGAGUUCUGUCUCCUGGGUGGGCUGCUUGCCAACACCAGGGUGGCUGGCCCCUGCCUGUGUCAGGUCCUGCAGUGUUGACUCUCUUCGUGUGAUGUUGGGCAGGUGGAGCUGGUUGUGCUGAGCCUGAGGAAACAUCCAAUGUGCCAAACUUU
rnacentral:lncRNA from 1 species